rnacentral:misc_RNA from 1 species
AAAUCAACCGGACAUGUCCAUUUCACAAGUUUAAACGGAAAAAGUCUCACUAUCUAGCCUCCUCCAAGUAUACAUUAAAAAAAUAAUAAUAAAGCAUAUCUAACCUCCUCUAGAAUAGGUACAUGUUCAGUAAAUUAUGGGGCAAAAAGAAAACGGACAACCUCUGAAACACCAAACUCUUUUCAACGUUCUAAAACCUUGUUCUGACUAUAAAAUGCUUUCUGGUUAUUAUUUCCUCUCCAAACUAAGAAAAUCUAUCAGCAAAAGGGCCAACACAGAUUCAUCACAUCUCCAAUGCCUCUUUUCUUCCAUUUUCAGCCUCUUUCCUACACAAAAUGGCCCUGAAAAUUGAGAAAAUGGCUACUAGUGCAAUUUCAAUGUGCUCAGAGCUACUCAUCUUUAUGCUAACUUUCCCCAUUUUCUGGCUAUUUAAAUUGGCAUUAACUGCCAUUCUCAUGCCUCGUGCUGGCCGAAACUCAGACUGAAAACCUCCACCCAACACCAUCUCCUUCUUAAAAGAUAGAGCGGUCAUUGAUACACUGAUAAUAUCAUUCCUCACAGGGUAGUC